rnacentral:rRNA from 1 species
GGGCAGCAGUGAGGAAUAUUGGUCAAUGGGCGUAAGCCUGAACCAGCCAUCCCGCGUGAAGGAAGAAGGCGCUAUGCGUCGUAAACUUCUUUUCCAGAGGAAGAAAACCCCCGACGUGUCGGGGCUUGCCGGUACUCUGGGAAUAAGCAUCGGCUAACUCCGUGCCAGCAGCCGCGGUAAUACGGAGGAUGCGAGCGUUAUCCGGAUUUAUUGGGCGUAAAGAGCACGUAGGCGGUUUAUCGCAUCUCCUGUUAAAUCUCGGAGCUCAACUUCGGGACCGCGGGAGAGAUGGAUAGACUAGAGAUCGGGAUAGGCAAGUGGAAUUGCUGGUGUAGGGGUUAAAUCCGUUAAUAUCAGCAGGAACACCAAAUGCGAAGGCAACUUGCUAGAACGAUUCUGACGCUGAGGUGCGAAAGCGUGGGGAGCGAAUGGGAUUAGAUACCCGUGUAGUC